rnacentral:rRNA from 1 species
AUUGAACGCUGGCGGCAGGCCUAACACAUGCAAGUCGAACGAGUGGCGGACGUGUUAGUAAUGUCUGGGACACUUCCUGAUGGAUGGGGAUAACUACUGGAAACUGUAGCUAAUACCGCAUACCCUCGGAUGUGCCCAGUUUGGAUUAGCUAGUAGGUGGGGUAAAGGCUCACCUAGGCGACGAUCCCUAGCUGGUCUGAGAGGAUGACCAGCCACACUGGAACUGAGACACGGUCCAGACUCCUACGGGAGGCAGCAGUGGGGAAUAUGGCACAAUGGGCGCAAGCCUGAUGCAGCCAUGCCGCGUGUAUGAAGAAGGCCUUCGGGUUGUAAAGUACUUUAAGCGGGGAGGCGUUACCAGCAGAAGAAGCACCGGCUAACUCCGUGCCAGCAGCCGCGGUAAUUC